CAACUUUCAACAAUGGAUCUCUUGGCUCUGGCAUCGAUGAAGAACGCAGCGAAAUGCGAUAAGUAGUGUGAAUUGCAGAAUUCCGUGAAUCAUCGAAUCUUUGAACGCACAUUGCGCCCUUUGGUAACAUUGGGCAUGCCUGUUCGAGCGUCAUCU
rnacentral:rRNA from 1 species